rnacentral:rRNA from 1 species
UACGGGAGGCAGCAGUGGGGAAUAUUGCACAAUGGGCGCAAGCCUGAUGCAGCCAUGCCGCGUGUAUGAAAAAGGCCUUCGGGUUGUAAAGUACUUUCAGUCGUGAGGAAGGUGUUAAGGUUAAUAACCUUAGCAAUUGACGUUAGCGACAGAAGAAGCACCGGCUAACUCCGUGCCAGCAGCCGCGGUAAUACGGAGGGUGCGAGCGUUAAUCGGAAUUACUGGGCGUAAAGGGCACGCAGGCGGUUAAUUAAGUUGGAUGUGAAAUUCCCGGGCUUAACCUGGGAAUGGCAUUCAAGCUGGUUAGCUAGAGUCUUGUAGAGGGGGGUAGAAUUCCAUGUGUAGCGGUGAAAUGCGUAGAGAUGUGGAGGAAUACCGGUGGCGAAGGCGGCCCCUGGACAAAGACUGACGCUCAUGUGCGAAAGCGUGGGGAGCAAACAGGGAUUAGAUACCCGU